CAAUGGAUACAGGUGGUGCAUGGUUGUCGUCAGCUCGUGCCGUGAGGUGUUGGGUUAAGUCCCGCAACGAGCGCAACCCUUAUCAUUAGUUGCUAACAUUCAGUUGAGAACUCUAAUGAGACUGCCAGUGAUAAACUGGAGGAAGGUGGGGAUGACGUCAAAUCAUCAUGCCCCUUAUGACCUGGGCUACACACGUGCUACAAUGGCCGGUACAAAGAGUUGCGAAACUGUGAAGUUAAGCUAAUCUCAUAAAGCCGGUCUCAGUUCGGAUUGUAGUCUGCAACUCGACUACAUGAAGUCGGAAUCGCUAGUAAUCGCGAAUCAGAAUGUCGCGGUGAAUACGUUCUCGAGUCUU
rnacentral:rRNA from 1 species